rnacentral:rRNA from 1 species
GACAGAGGAUGCAAACGUUGCUCGGAGUUACUGGGCGUAAAGCGCAUGUAGGUGGUCCGAUAAGUCGGGUGUGAAAUCCCGGGGCUCAACCUCGGAAGUGCACACGAUACUGUCGGACUUGAGUACUGGAGAGGAGAGCGGAAUUCCCGGUGUAGAGGUGAAAUUCGUAGAUAUCGGGAGGAACACCAGUGGCGAAGGCGGCUCUCUGGACAGAUACUGAGACUGAGAUGCGAAAGCGUGGGAAGCAAACAGG